UGAGGAAUAUUGGUCAAUGGACGCAAGUCUGAACCAGCCAAGUAGCGUGCAGGAUGACGGCCCUAUGGGUUGUAAACUGCUUUUAUGCGGGGAUAAAGUUUGGGACGUGUCCCAUUUUGUAGGUACCGCAUGAAUAAGGACCGGCUAAUUCCGUGCCAGCAGCCGCGGUAAUACGGAAGGUCCGGGCGUUAUCCGGAUUUAUUGGGUUUAAAGGGAGCGUAGGCCGUCGUUUAAGCGUGUUGUGAAAUGUCGCGGCUCAACCGUGGCACUGCAGCGCGAACUGGAUGACUUGAGUUCGCGGGAGUAGGCGGAAUUCGUGGUGUAGCGGUGAAAUGCUUAGAUAUCACGAA
rnacentral:rRNA from 1 species